AACGAACGCUGGCGGCAGGCCUAACACAUGCAAGUCGAACGAGAAGCCACCUUCGGGUGGUGGAAAGUGGCAGACGGGUGAGUAACACGUGGGAACGUGCCCUUUGGUUCGGAACAACUC
rnacentral:rRNA from 1 species